UACGUAGGGUGCAAGCGUUGCCCGGAUUUAUUGGGCGUAAAGGGCGCGUAGGCGGCUCUGCACGUCCGUUGUGAAAUCGCCCGGCUCAACUGGGCGGGGUCAGCGGAUACGGCGGAGCUUGAGCAAGCUAGGGGGCAAUGGAAUUCCCGGUGUAGUGGUGGAAUGCGUAGAUAUCGGGAGGAACACCAGUGGCGAAGGCGACUAUCUGGGCUGCAACUGACGCUGAGGCGCGAAGGCUAGGGUAGCAAACAGG
rnacentral:rRNA from 1 species